rnacentral:rRNA from 1 species
CCGCACAAGCUGUGGAGCAUGUGGUUUAAUUCGAAGCAACGCGAAGAACCUUACCAGGUCUUGACAUCCUCUGACAACCCUAGAGAUAGGGCUUCCCCUUCGGGGGCAGAGUGACAGGUGGUGCAUGGUUGUCGUCAGCUCGUGUCGUGAGAUGUUGGGUUAAGUCCCGCAACGAGCGCAACCCUUGAUCUUAGUUGCCAGCAUUCAGUUGGGCACUCUAAGGUGACUGCCGGUGACAAACCGGAGGAAGGUGGGGAUGACGUCAAAUCAUCAUGCCCCUUAUGACCUGGGCUACACACGUGCUACAAUGGGCAGAACAAAGGGCAGCGAAGCCGCGAGGCUAAGCCAAUCCCACAAAUCUGUUCUCAGUUCGGAUCGCAGUCUGCAACUCGACUGCGUGAAGCUGGAAUCGCUAGUAAUCGCGGAUCAGCAUGCCGCGGUGAAUACGUUCCCGGGCCUUGUACACACCGCCCUCACACCACGAGAGUUUGUAACACCCGAAGUCGGUGAGGUAACCUUUGGAGCCAGC